UGUAAAACUAGAGAAAAGGUUAAAAUUUUUACAGCACAAAGCACAUUCACAAACUUACAAUUUCUGGAGGUGCGAUAUGUUCAGGUCUUGACAUCUUCUUCGUUUUUCUUCAGGUAUGUAAAAAACAAAUAUUAACGUUGAUUUCCAAUUCUCGGCAGGAGCGCUGCUCAUCUUACGCUCAUAUUCUCGUUGCUGCAUUUCGUUAUCUUGAAUAGUGGAGUAGCUGUAAAUUGUAAAGAUGGCUGAAAAGUAAUAAUUGAAACUGGAUAUGAAGUUGGAUAUACUCUUUUUCGAUAAAAAGAUAAUUUU